CACUGCUAGGGUAAUAGUAGUAAUAAUAAAAUGGUUUUAAUCAGAUGGACUGAUCUUUCAGGUCUAGGAAAUAGGGUGGGGGAAGUUCAGGGGAAAGAUAAAUUCAGGGUCGGUUUCAUAAAUCAGGCUAUGCAUCUAAAGUAAGAGAGAAAGGUUAAUGCAGAACAUGACCAGAAGGACUUUGGUGAGAAUCAGGUUCUGGUCACCUGAUCAAAGUAGAGUGCAAGACUUCCUUUCCAACGGGCACCAGAGAUUUGAGGCCGUAGAAAUAUGGGAGAGAACAGGGAAUGGACUAAGUGAGUAAGUCAACCACAUCUACUCCUUGUCCAGUCUCUUAUGUCACUGUUCUGCGGUUAUACUAGUAGAGCAUUUCCUCAUCUGGGAAGUCUGCAACUUAAAGUCUGUGGGAAAUGUUCAGUUUAUUCUAACAAGGUAAUUCAUACAGAAAAGGGUCAAGAAAACUGGGAACUAUCAUUCAAAAGCCUCAGACCUCUGCUCUGGGUAUAGAACAGUAGACUAUUACAAACUCUUCUGGUUUGCACAGAAGAAAAAUGUUGACAAAUUGCCCAGCUGCAUUUUCUGUGUUAUAAAAUUGAAGUAGGGGGAGGCAGUCAGCAGAUGCUGGCUAUACAUUGCACUUAGCCUGGGAUGGGGUCAGGACAGCACGGACAGACACUGUUUAAUGGAAAGACCUAUGUCACAAUGCACUGAAUUUCUCACAGCAAGGCUGUAAAUGACAUCAAAAUACAGACAUCUAAGCUGAGACCCUUAGCAUCAUCCUCAAAGCACAAAAUGUUCACGGAGGGAAACCCUGGAAUCUCCCCCUGAAAACCUGUUAAUGUGGCUGAGAGCUCAAAACUGAAUCAUUGAAAACAGUAUAUUUUAUGGACAUAGAGAAAGAUGCUGCUUUUCUCCUGACAAUCUUCAAAGAGGGACCAGGUCAUGAUAAAGCAAAGCUGAAAGUCACUGCAGAGCAGGUCAGCAACCCACAGAGACAAUCUUCCCUAAAUUGGCACUUUAAUGCCUUGGGUUUUAGCAUUCUGGCCUCAGAUGGAAAACCUGUAUGGACUCAGGACUGGAAUUAGAAAAUUUUAAGGUUAGUUUGUUGGAGGAUUUUCUAAGUUAUCUAUCCAAUUCAGUUUCCAGGGAGGUAGUGAAAGGUUACAAAAAUAAAUAAAAAGACGAAGAAGAAAUGCUUUGAAGCCAGAAAUGUUUGAAUUCAAAUCCUGGCUCUACCAUUAGCCAGGUGGAUAACCUUGGAAUUCGACAAAUUACAUAAUGUCCUAGAGGGAUGAAUUUUCAUUUGAGUAUGGUUAUGAUUGCACCCACAUCUGUGAGGAUGACAUGAGAUGUUGCCAGUAUCAUAUUUAGCACAGUGCCUGGCAUAUAGCAGAAAACAGGAAAUGCUAACUCUCUUCCCUUUCUCUGUCCAGCUUUCUAAUACAGUCAGUCCUACUCAUUUAGUUUGUUAUCUCUUUCUAGAGAACAAAAGCAAAAGGAAGUUUUGCUGCUAACUGUCUCUAUCAAGUUUUUCUACAUUGAAGACAAACUGUGUAUGUGAUUUGUUCUCCUCAAAUGAGAUAUUCAGGGUACGUUGCUCAAAUAAAGAGGGCAAAGCGAUAUGGAGCACAUAGAAAAGAAGAGCGUUUACAUUGAAAGUGAAUUCCGGAGCAAGGAAGUUAUUGGCAUUCGUUUAGUGUACCACAAUGCUAGGGCUGAGGCCUCCGGGAUCCUCUGGGCCUUUUUCAUGGUUGAAAAAUGACAGUGGCAGCUUCAUUCCUUGUGCCCAGUUCCAGAGAGGAGGAAUGAGAAAGGAGCAAGAAGAAAAGGCUGACAUCUAUGGGAAGCCAAACUUUUUCAGGAAUCCCCUGCUCAGCACAAUCAUAACUACAUAGAUGAUUACAGUUGUAUGUUCGGAGAAAAAGAGGAGAGAGAAGACUAAGACUCAUAGGAAAGAAUCCUGCUUUUAUUAAUCAUUCAUACAUAUUUUCAUUUAUGUUUUGAAAGCCAACAACAUACCAGGCUGUCUGUUUGGCACUUAAUAUCUUCAGUCUGACCGAUACCAACUUCGGUUUUCUUGUGGAAAAAAUAAGGAUGUGCUCCUCCUGGGCAUUCAGAAUCCAGCAGGAACACUAUCGCCUCUAUGAACCCCAUACCAGCCCAGGCUAAGUAAGAUGCUGUGGUAGAUUACAUUUUCCAAAGAUGGCUACACCAAGAUAUAUCCUGCCCCACAUAUCCUUCUUAUACCAUGACACUGACACGUCUCCAUCAAGAGAUGAGAUCCUUGUUCCCCUACCUUGACCUGGGUGGACCUUUGUAACUGCCUCAAACAACAGUGUGACAGAAGUGCAUGACCUCUCAGAUGUAUUUGUCGGGGUUUUCCAGAGAAACAGAAUCAAUAGGAUGUAUGCGUGUGUAUGCAUGUGUGUGCGUGUGUGUGUGUGUAGAGA
rnacentral:lncRNA from 1 species